UGGUGCGGCCAUAGUCCGGCCACUCCUCGCGGGUCGAGGCGGACACCUGCUGGUCGUUAACCAGCACAGGCAACUGUCAGGAUGAGUAGGGGGGUGGUGAAAUCGUGCCCACCCGGCCCUGGAACGAGGCACGUGUCCCUCAGCGAGUAGACACAUGCUGCUGGGCCUCUGAGCCUACACAGCAGACAUAACUCGAGAGUUCAUCUUACGCAUUUUCCUCCUUUGAAACAAUCAGCAGCUGGGAUGCUUUUUUAUACAGUGUCUCCUGCUGACUGCUGUCACAGCUUCUGCUGCUCGUCCCGAGGCCUGUCUCUGCGCCGUGUUGCUAGGCAAUGCCCGGCCCGGCCGGAUUUAAAUAAACGCGCAGACAGCACCCAGAACACGGUCCUCCGCCCACUGAUUGCUCCUCGCACCAAAGCUGGAAGCAGGAGACCCUUCGUAUGGUCCACAGGGGUACUUUGACAUAGUCGGAGGAGUUAUUUUCAAGAAUUAAGUCGAGAAACCCUGACAAGAACACUAAGUACAGUCAAGUCGGUUUGUCAUAUUGAGAAAAACAUCCCUUUGCCCUGACUCCGUGGGGGACACUUACGCCGAGGGUCAUACCUCGAUCUGCACUGACGGCAGAAAAUAGCUUUCCAAACAACGACUUUCUCUUUGAAAGGAAUUUUGACGCCUGACGUGGAACCAGAAAUGUAUCCUUCACCUAACAAAUGAGUGUGCAAAGAUGGAGAAUGUCAGAUAGUCACAAACGGCUUUCAGGUGCCACUUCUGUAUCGGUCACACACACAGAACAAGACAACAAGCACAAAGGAAAAGAAAAUAUGAAGCAGGAGAAAUAGGGAUAGUCAUUAACUCCAGUGAAGUUCAAAAGAUGGCGUGAGUUCCACAAACACCGAGAACACAUCGAAGAAGCUUGCCCGGCUGAGUAACAAGCAGGUGGUUCAGCCGCGGAAGUCCCCCACCACGCAGAACAGAUCCCUGGAGGCAGAAAGGCAGAGGAAUUGCUUAUGAUCACCUUCUGUCGCUCGAGGGUCAAAGGAUGCCCCGUGGGAUGUCAACUGCACGGCUGGGCUGAUUCAAAGAGCCAACUUCUACUCCUGUAUCACGAGACCUUGUCGGACUUGAGAGGAGGCAGGAGCGCCCUCACUCCCGGCUUGUGGGACCUGGGCCGGCCCUGGCUCCCGGGGGGCUGAGCAUGGAGAGGCGCAGCAAAGGGGAAGCCAGCCAGGCUGUCUGCUUGUGGACGACCGAGACCUGGGCCAGAGGCGGGAACGAGAACCUGGAGAGGACCACAUCUAGGUCCUUAAAGCUGAUAAAAUGUUAUGAACGUCAUAAACCAUUUUAAACCAAGUGGUCAGACAUACUCUUCCCUUAGGCAAGACGAUUGCUUUCAACAUCUCUCUGCACCUGCUUCCAUCCAGAACCAUAACAGCAGGGGAGAAUCACAGAAGGGACACGGGGGAGGGGGAGUCAGCAGAGUAUACGGUGCAUCAUCAUACGGAGGGCGCCCUACACAGAGCACCUCGCUUCGUCCCCGAGGCCACCGUAAGCGAGCAUCGCUAUUGACACCUACGCAUGCAGAAACCAGCAUCCACGAGGAUCAGAGUUACAACUAAGCUAAGUUGUAAGCUGGAAGUUAAGCCCCUUGGUGGCCCCGAGUCUCUGUGCCACCAGGUUGAACCAAGUGAUCCUCGGUCAGGAGCAUCAACCCUCCUUCCCCGGACCUUCCUGUCUUAUAGCACAAACAUGUUGACAUGGUGAAUAGCGUAGCUCCUCAGUCUCCUGAGUGUGAAAAUCGGCUCGGCUGACAGGAAGGAAACAGGACACAGCCCCGUGCGGGUCAGGCUUGGAGGACAGACCCAGACGCACCCGCUGUCCAUCUGCAGGAGGUGGCGCAGGGCCGUGACCGGCCGUGACCUGCCGUGUCGAGCCCGCCUCUGAGUGACAGGGCCUCCUUCCGGUGCCCCCCACAGCCCUCAGCUCUCUCCACCUAGAGCUGGGACGCUGGGCUCCUCAAGUGUCCUUGCCAAAUGCCGGGUUAACCCUUUACUAAUCCCGUCCCAGGAAGAGACAUCGGUCCAAAUGGGUCCUGCCUCCCCCCCCCCCGUGUCCCGACUUAGAAGGGGCCCUCCCGCCCUGCUGUUGGAGACACCAGGCUCCUUCGGGUCAGGACGGGACUACAGAUCCAUUGCGAGCUGUCACAGGGGUGAGCGUCAUAGGUUUUAUGCUUAAAACAGAUUCCCACCGUGCCGAAGACAGACCCCGAACCAGCACACGUAGCCGGAAGUAUUUGCCAGGUUGUUUACCUCGGUACAGGUGAUCCUAUCAUUUUAAAUCAACGUUCUCGGGGCGCCUGGGUGGGGCAGUCGGUUAAGCGUCCGACUUCAGCCAGGUCACCAUCUCGCAGUCAGUGAGUUCAAGCCCCGCGUCAGGCUCUGGGCUGAU